AUCUGGAACGAGGAGGUUGCCGGCUGCGAUUCGAGAAAAGGCAGCACCAGGGAGAGGCCACCACGCCGCCUGGAUCUGGAGGCAAGCUCCACGACGACGGGCGCCUGCCUUUCUUCUGCCCAUGGUCUCCACCGGCUUCCCUUCCACCGCCACCGAUCUGCUCCGCGUUGGCGAGCUAUACGGAGGAACCAACGUCCUUCGUCCUCGUCGGCGGCCGCCGUUCCGCCUUCGUCCGCUGGCGGCCUCCAGAUCGCCACCAUCGCCCACGCCUGCUGCCCUCGUCCGCCGCCCGUGGAGGACGCUGAGGAGAGUGAGAAUCCGGAUGCAGCAUCAAUGCAGAUGACGAUUAUACUGACAACGAUGUACAUUGAGACCUUUAUUGUUCAGUCUAUUGGCACAAAUCCCUGUUCUUGGUGCAGAUCUUUACUGACUGCCAAAUUGAACUUUUCUCUUGACCUCAAUGAUAUCCGGGUGAUCUCUGAAGAUAUAGGAUCCUUGGUUCAUUUGACAUGGACGCUCGAAAUGUUUCAUGUCGUACACUUUGCACACUUUUUCUGGAUUUAUCUUGGCGAACUGAUAAUGUGUCAAUUAGAAUUUUGGUUCUUAAUUUAA
rnacentral:lncRNA from 1 species